UUACAAACACAGGGAAUACAAAUAAGAUAAAAAAAGAAAAAGAGAAAUUGGACGCGAAAAGGCGUAAUGAAUUCAUGUAUACAGAUAUGCAUUGGAUUCGUUUUGAUUACAGGUUGUUUGUAACAGAGAAAAUGAAUAAUUACAAGAACAAACAAGGAACGCAUGAGUUUUCG
rnacentral:ribozyme from 1 species